rnacentral:rRNA from 1 species
GAUGAACGCUGGCGGCGUGCCUAAUACAUGCAAGUCGAGCGAACAGACGAGGAGCUUGCUCCUCUGACGUUAGCGGCGGACGGGUGAGUAACACGUGGAUAACCUACCUAUAAGACUGGGAUAACUUCGGGAAACCGGAGCUAAUACCGGAUAAUAUAUUGAACCGCAUGGUUCAAUAGUGAAAGACGGUUUUGCUGUCACUUAUAGAUGGAUCCGCGCCGCAUUAGCUAGUUGGUAAGGUAACGGCUUACCAAGGCAACGAUGCGUAGCCGACCUGAGAGGGUGCUCGGCCACACUAGAACUGAGACACGGUCCAGACUCCUACGGGAGGCAGCAGCAGGGAAUCUUCCGCAAUGGGCGAAAGCCUGACGGAGCAACGCCGAGUGAGUGAUGAAGGUCUUCGGAUCGUAAAACUCUGUUAUUAGGGAAGAACAAAUGUGUAAGUAACUAUGCACGUCUUGACGGUACCUAAUCAGAAAGCCACGGCUAACUACGUG